rnacentral:rRNA from 1 species
GAUAACGCUGGCGGCGUGCCUUAUGCAUGCAAGUCGAACGAGGCCAAGGCUUCGGCCUGAAGCCUAGUGGCGGACGGGUGAGUAACACGUACGUGACCUGUCCCGAAGUGGGGAAUAACCAGCCGAAAGGUUGGCUAAUACCGCAUGUGGUUACCCCUUGGAAGGGAUGACCAAAGCCGAAAGGCGCUUUGGGAGGGCGUGCAGCCGAUUAGCUAGUUGGUGGGGUAAAGGCUCACCAAGGCGACGAUCUGUAGCGGGUCUUAGAGGAUGAUCCGCCACACUGGAACUGAGACACGGUCCAGACUCCUACGGGUGGCAG